UACGUAGGUGGCAAGCGUUGUUCGGAUUUACUGGGCGUAAAGGGCGCGUAGGCGGCGUGACUAGUCACUUGUGAAAUCUCCGGGCUUAACUCGGAACGGUCAAGUGAUACUGUCGUGCUAGAGUACAGAAGGGGCAACUGGAAUUCUCGGUGUAGCGGUGAAAUGCGUAGAUAUCGAGAGGAACACCUGCGGCGAAGGCGGGUUGCUGGGCUGAUACUGACGCUGAUGCGCGAAAGCCAGGGGAGCGAACGGG
rnacentral:rRNA from 1 species